GCGGCAGCUACACAUGCAGUCGACGACCUUCGGGUGAGUGGCGCACGGGUGCGUAACGCGUGGGAAUGUACAUCUCGGUAAGGAAUAACUGCUGGAAACGGUAGCUAAUACCUUAUAAUGACUCCGGUCCAAAGAUUUAUCGCCGAGGAAUCAGCCCGCGUCAGAUUAGCUUGUUGGUGAGGUAAAAGCUCACCAAGGCGACGAUCUGUAGGGGGUCUGAGAGGAUGAUCCCCCACACUGGUACUGAGACACGGACCAGACUCCUACGGGAGGCAGCAGUGAGGAAUAUUGGACAAUGGGGGCAACCCUGAUCCAGCCAUGCCGCGUGAGUGAAGAAGGCCUUAGGGUUGUAAAGCUCUUUCAAUAGUGAAGAUAAUGACGGUAGCUAUAGAAGAAGCUCCGGCUAAAUUCGUGCCAGCAGCCGCGGUAAUACGAAUGGAGCAAGCGUUGUUCGGAAUGACUGGGCUUAAAGCGUAUGUAGGCGGAUCAUAAAGUCAGGAGUGAAAUCCCGAGGCUCAACCUCGGAACUGCUCUUGAAACUCAUGGUCUAGAAUACUGGAGAGGUUGGGAGAAUUCCUAGUGUAGAGGUGAAAUUCGCAGAUAUUAGGAGGAAUACCAGUGGCGUAGGCGCCCAACUGGACAGUUAUUGACGCUCAGAUACGAAAGCGUGGGGAGCAAACAGGAUUAGAUACCCUGGUAGUCCACGCCGUAAACGAUGUGUGCUAGUUG
rnacentral:rRNA from 1 species